rnacentral:rRNA from 1 species
CCGAUCGAGGACGAGCCCGCGGCGGAUUAGCUUGUUGGUGAGGUAACGGCUCACCAAGGCGACGAUCCGUAGCUGGUCUGAGAGGACGAUCAGCCACACUGGGACUGAGACACGGCCCAG